UUCGGUCCUCCAGUUAGUGUUACCCAACCUUCAACCUGCCCAUGGCUAGAUCACCGGGUUUCGGGUCUAUACCCUGCAACUUAACGCCCAGUUAAGACUCGGUUUCCCUUCGGCUCCCCUAUUCGGUUAACCUUGCUACAGAAUAUAAGUCGCUGACCCAUUAUACAAAAGGUACGCAGUCACACGCCUAAGCGUGCUCCCACUGCUUGUACGUACACGGUUUCAGGUUCUUUUUCACUCCCCUCGCCGGGGUUCUUUUCGCCUUUCCCUCACGGUACUGGUUCACUAUCGGUCAGUCAGGAGUAUUUAGCCUUGGAGGAUGGUCCCCCCAUAUUCAGACAGGAUACCACGUGUCCCGCCCUACUCAUCGAGCUCACAGCAUGUGCAUUUUUGUGUACGGGGCUGUCACCCUGUAUCGCGCGCCUUUCCAGACGCUUCCACUAACACACAUACUGAUUCAGGCUCUGGGCUGCUCCCCGUUCGCUCGCCGCUACUGGGGGAAUCUCGGUUGAUUUCUUUUCCUCGGGGUACUUAGAUGUUUCAGUUCCCCCGGUUCGCCUCAUUAACCUAUGGAUUCAGUUAAUGAUAGUGUGUCGAAACACACUGGGUUUCCCCAUUCGGAAAUCGCCGGUUAUAACGGUUCAUAUCACCUUACCGACGCUUAUCGCAGAUUAGCACGUCCUUCAUCGCCUCUGACUGCCAGGGCAUCCACCGUGUACGCUUAGUCGCUUAACCUCACAACCCGAAGAUGUUUCUU
rnacentral:rRNA from 1 species